GGCUCAGGACGAACGCUGGCGGCGUGCCUAAUACAUGCAAGUCGAGCGGGGUUACUGCGUCAGAUUCCUUCGGGAAGAAGAUGCUUUAACCUAGCGGCGGACGGGUGAGUAACGCGUGGGCAACCUACCCUAAAGCCUGGGAUAACACCGGGAAACCGGUGCUAAGACCGGAUACCUUUCGGGGGAGGCAUCUUCUCCGAAAGAAAGGUUACGCUUUAGGAUGGGCCCGCGUCCCAUUAGCUAGUUGGUGAGGUAACGGCUCACCAAGGCUGCGAUGGGUAGCCGGCCUGAGAGGGUGGACGGCCACACUGGGACUGAGACACGGCCCAGACUCCUACGGGAGGCAGCAGUAGGGAAUAUUGCGCAAUGGGCGAAAGCCUGACGCAGCGACGCCGCGUGAGUGACGAAGGCCUUCGGGUUGUAAAACUCUGUCCUUGGGG
rnacentral:rRNA from 1 species